rnacentral:rRNA from 1 species
GAUGAACGCUGGCGGCGUGCCUAAUACAUGCAAGUCGAACGCUGGAAAUCUAGCUUGCUAGCUUGAAGGAGUGGCGAACGGGUGAGUAUACAUAAGCAACCUACCCACGAAGACUGGGAUAAUCUCUGGAAACGGGGACUAAUACCGGAUAGGUAAUCGGAAGGCAUCUUCUGAUUAUUAAAGGUUAAAAACACUGGUGGAUGGGCUUAUGGCGCAUUAGUUAGUUGGUGAGGUAACGGCCCACCAAGACGAUGAUGCGUAGCCGGCCUGAGAGGGUGAACGGCCACAUUGGGACUGAGACACGGCCCAGACUCCUACGGGAGGCAGCAGUAGGGAAUUUUCGGCAAUGGGGGAAACCCUGACCGAGCAACGCCGCGUGAGUGAUGACGGCCUUCGGGUUGUAAAGCUCUGUUGUAAGGGAAGAACGGUAGAUAGAGAAUAUCUAAAUGACGGUACCUUACCAGAAAGCCACGGCUAACUACGUG